rnacentral:rRNA from 1 species
GAUGAACGCUGGCGGCGUGCCUAAUACAUGCAAGUCGAGCGAACAGACGAGGAGCUUGCUCCUCUGACGUUAGCGGCGGACGGGUGAGUAACACGUGGAUAACCUACCUAUAAGACUGGGAUAACUUCGGGAAACCGGAGCUAAUACCGGAUAACAUGUUGAACCGCAUGGUUUAACAGUGAAAGACGGUCUUGCUGUCACUUAUAGAUGGAUCCGCGCCGCAUUAGCUAGUUGGUAAGGUAACGGCUUACCAAGGCAACGAUGCGUAGCCGACCUGAGAGGGUGAUCGGCCACACUGGAACUGAGACACGGUCCAGACUCCUACGGGAGGCAGCAGUGGGGAAUCUUCCGCAAUGGGCGAAAGCCUGACGGAGCAACGCCGCGUGAGUGAAGAAGGUCUUCGGAUCGUAAAACUCUGUUAUUAGGGAAGAACAAAUGUGUAAGUAACUAUGCACGUCUUGACGGUACCUAAUCAGAAAGCCACGGCUAACUACGUG